AUUGAACGCUGGCGUCAGGCCUAACACAUGCAAGUCGAACGAUUGGCGGACGGGUUAGUAAUGUCUGGGAAACUGCCCGCUGGCGGGGGAUAACUACUGGAAACGGUCGCUAAUACCGCAUACCAUCGGAUGUGCCUAGAUGGGAUUAGCUAGUAGGUGGGGUAAUGGCUAACAUGGGCGACGAUCCCUAGCUGGUCUGAGAGGAUGACCAGCAAAGCUGGAACUGAGACAGGGUCCAGACUCCUACGGGAGGAAGCAGUGGGGAAUAUUGCACAAUGGGGGCAAGCCUGAUGCAGCCAUGCCGCGUGUAUGAAGAAGGCGUUCGGGUUGUAAAGUACUUUCAGCGAGGAGGCGAAACUCGCAGAAGAAGCACCGGAUAACUCCGUGCCAGCAGCCGCGGUAAUUC
rnacentral:rRNA from 1 species